rnacentral:rRNA from 1 species
UCCGGCAGCACGGGGGCAACCCUGGUGGCGAGUGGCGAACGGGUGAGUAAGACAUCGGAACGUGUCCUGUAGUGGGGGAUAGCCCGGCGAAAGCCGGAUUAAUACCGCAUACGACCUGAGGGAGAAAGCGGGGGAUCUUCGGACCUCGCGCUAUAGGGGCGGCCGAUGGCAGAUUAGCUAGUUGGUGGGGUAAAGGCCUACCAAGGCGACGAUCUGUAGCUGGUCUGAGAGGACGACCAGCCACACUGGGACUGAGACACGGCCCAGACUCCUACGGGAGGCAGCAGUGGGGAAUUUUGGACAAUGGGGGCAAUCCUGAUCCAGCAAUGCCGCGUGUGUGAAGAAGGCCUUCGGGUUGUAAAGCACUUUUGUCCGGAAAGAAAACCAUCGCCCUAAUAUGGUGGUGGGAUGACGGUACCGGAAGAAUAAGCACCGGCUAACUACGUGCCAGCAGCCGCGGUAAUACGUAGGGUGCGAGCGUUAAUCGGAAUUACUGGGCGUAAAGCGUGCGCAGGCGGUCUGUUAAGACCGAUGUGAAAUCCCCGGGCUUAACCUGGGAACUGCAUUGGUGACUGGCAGACUGGAGUGUGGCAGAGGGAGGUAGAAUUCCACGUGUAGCAGUGAAAUGCGUAGAGAUGUGGAGGAAUACCGAUGGCGAAGGCAGCCUCCUGGGCCAACACUGACGCUCAUGCACGAAAGCGUGGGGGAGCAAACAGGAUUAGAUACCCUGGUAGUCCACGCC